GAUGAACGCUGCGGCGUGCCUAAUACAUGCAAGUCGAGCGAACAGACGAGGAGCUUGCUCCUCUGACGUUAGCGGCGGACGGGUGAGUAACACGUGGAUAACCUACCUAUAAGACUGGGAUAACUUCGGGAAACCGGAGCUAAUACCGGAUAAUAUAUUGAACCGCAUGGUUCAAUAGUGAAAGACGGUUUUGCUGUCACUUAUAGAUGGAUCCGCGCCGCAUUAGCUAGUUGGUAAGGUAACGGCUUACCAAGGCAACGAUGCGUAGCCGACCUGAGAGGGUGAUCGGCCACACUGGAACUGAGACACGGUCCAGACUCCUACGGGAGGCAGCAGUAGGGAAUCUUCCGCAAUGGGCGAAAGCUUGACGGAGCAACGCCGCGUGAGUGAUGAAGGUCUUCGGAUCGUAAAACUCUGUUAUUAGGGAAGAACAAAUGUGUAAGUAACUAUGCACGUCUUGACGGUACCUAAUCAGAAAGCCACGGCUAACUACGUG
rnacentral:rRNA from 1 species